AGGAAAAAUAAAAAACCUUGAGAACCAUGUCUCUCUGCCUUAACUGCGAAAAUAAACAACUCAUUUGUCCCAUGUGAAAAGGAAUUAAAACUUCUCACUGAGUCUUAAUCUUGAGUCUGUGUUUUCUCUCUGCUUCAUAAUCUCCGCAGAACAAGCCGGCAGCAAUUCUUGAGCCUUUAGGUCCACAUCCUGAGAAAGUUCAAAGCACUUCCUUCACAUAAUGGUUUUUUUUCCUUUCCAAGCGGUCGUGCAGGAAGAGGUGAGACCCACCAAACCACAGUUUGCCUCGCUCCCUGUGAGCAAUGCUGUUGAUAUAACGACCCAGCUCAGACAGGGAAGGAUUUCUAGUGGCUGCCACUGAUUUCCUACAGGAGGGCACUGUGGAAGGAAGGAGAGGUGGUACGCAUGGGGAAAGAUCAAAGUGCUUUCAGAGAUCUGCAGUAGUAUCGCAUUCUUCUUUCGAUUACGUGAGUGCAGCUGAAGACCUGGAGCAGCAGUGAUGAGGUGCAUGCACUGCAGCUACUCCCUUCCCUAUUCUCAUAGGAAGCUCAUGCGUUGAGGGAAGAAGUUCCCAGAGCUUUCUGUGCUGGUGAAAGAGGCAGCUGUGCUAAUUCUGAUACCGAGUAUUCUCUUACAAACUGAGAUGCUGCAAAACUCCUCAGAAGAGCAGAAAAGGAAGACUUACACCUCUGUCUGACACAGUUAAAAUCUCUCCCUGUGCACUUAUCAGCUUGCAUAUCUCUGUGAAACUCUGUGCUUCAGCGAGGGCUACAUCACUAGGCAACUACUGCAAAGAAACAUGAGUUCUACAGGAUUUCAGGGAAGAAUUCUUCCUCUACUUUUGUUCACUUCUGAGUUUGUUUCUUGGCACCCUCUUCCUUAAUGUGAGGUCAGCCAGAGUACUUUCACAGUUUUUCCUGUCUGUUUUGUCGUUUGUUUCUGUUUCGCAGGCUUACAGCUCCGAAGUCUUUCCAAGAGAGAAGAGAAACCAAACUGGAAGAUGAGAGCAUUGCACAGGCACCAAAUGCUGUUUCUGUUCAACCUUUGUUUCAUCGAGAAAACACCAAGAGACAGGAUAGAAGCAUGAAGGUGGUAAUUAACCACAUAGCUGAUUUUGGACUGUUACCAUGCUACCAGAAAAACAUGCUGGGAGAAGCCAUCAUCCACCGUGAAUGAGUUUUCUUGUAUAUGGAAUCCACUUGUUUAUGAGACUCACUUUAAACAAUAACAGAAUCACAAAAUCACAGAGUUGUAGGAGUUGGAAAGGACCUCUAGAAAUCAUCGAGUCCAACCUCUUCUGCUAAAGGAGUUCCCUGCAGCAGGUCACACAGGAAAGUGUCCAGGUCGGUUUUGAAUAUCUCCAGAGAAGGAGACUCCACAACAUCUCUGGGCAGCCUGCUCCAAUGCUCUGCCACCCUCACAAUAAAGAAGUUCUUCCUCAUGUACGUAUGGAACUUCCUGUGUUCCAGUUUGUGCCUAUUUCUGUUGUCCUGUCACUGGGCUCUGCUGAAGGAGACUGGCCACAUCCACUUGACUCCUGCCCUUUAGAUAUUUAUCAACAGUGAUGAGAUCCCUCUCAGUCUUCUCCAGACGGAAUAGUCUCUCAGCCUUUCUUCAUAAGGGAGAUGCUCCAGGCCCCUAAUACUCUUUCUGGCCUUCCACUGGACUCUCUCAAGAAGAUCCCUGUCUUUCUUGAGUGAGGAGCCCAGAACUGGAUGCAGUACUCCAGAUGUGGCCUCACUGGGGCAAAGUAGCUGGGGAGGACCUCCUCCCUCAACCUGUUGUCCACACUUUUCAAUGAACCCCAACUUUUAGAGUCCAACUGGUCCCAGUAUUGUUCUGCCAAUGAGGAAAAGCUCCAGAGUGAAAAUGUUGGACUCUGAUUAUGCUUUGCUGUCAUUCAGCAGCACUCAUCCUUCCACCUCUGUCUUGAACAACUGUGUGACUGGUCUUUCCUCGCAGUAAUGAAUUAAACAGUGUAUAACCAAGUAGUUAUCAAUACAGAUUUUGUUCUCAGAGUUUCUUUGAACUUUAGUUUCAACUAGACAAUCCCUGGCACCAAAUCCAAGAAAAGAAAAACAUGAGGAAAAUAGUGAUGUAUGGGGAUUGGUUAUAUAUUCAUAAAGCCACUAAUCACAGUUUCUUUUCUCUCUCAUUUUUGCUAGGCUUUCUUUGUCUAUUUUCAGGUCUUAUCUCUAUAUGAACACUGAUAGCAGAUAAAUCAAGACAACAGCUUCCUUCAUUUUUAGGAGUUUUGUUAAAAUUGACUUUCUCCCUCUGACAUGAAUAUCAGUUUAUAUCUCAAUCAAAUCUGGAAUUGUAGUUUAGAGAGAAAAUACAUAAAAUAUGCGUAGAAGAUUUUCCUAUGUCAUCCCUCUCACAGACACUUUCUGUUACUUUUAGAUUUAUUUCAGAUUAUUGUUUACUUCGCAAUCAUUAAUAAUUUACAGAAGUAAAGGCUUUUGUUUGUUAGUGAUUUGUCAUAACUGGAAUAAUGAAAAUAAUUAUAUAUAUCUCCAGUUCUUCAGUUUUGUAAAGUUCUGCUAAACUCAAGUGUUCAAGCUGUAAUAUAUCUCUUCUACUUUGGGUCUUACCAUUGAAUGACCUGACCUUUUAAUAAAGAUUUUUGUUUCCUAUGGUGCUUGAUUUCUUUGGCUAAGUAAUAAAAAGUAUGUGACACUUAAGAGCUUCCUACUUCCCUACUCUCUCUUAUAGUAGAGUGCUUAUGUAAUGAAGAGUGAUUGCUUGCAAGUCCAGAGAAAGAAAUCCUAAGCAUAUCUGUAUCUUCCAGUUGAUGGGUAUUAAAAAAAAAAAAAAAAAAAAUAACCAAACUGCCUGUCAGCCUUGGGAAGAUAAAGAGGACAGAGCAGUGUGAAUGAAUUCAUCAGCAACAAAUGACAGCAAACUUGUCUGAUUUCCCUCUGUGACCAAGUAACAGACAUUAUGAAGAGUCAAGCAGCCGUAUCUAUCUGUCUGUCUGUGGUAUAUCUUGACUUCUGUGGUAUUUUUGAGGCUGCCUUUGACAAUUGUUACCUAGAUGUAUUUUGAUAACAUGCUAUAGUUGAAUGCACAGUAGUUGCAAAAUUCUAAAUAAUUAGACCAGAACAAAGUAAAAAUGAAAGGCUGUGCUAUUGGAGGUUAUAUAUUGAAUUGUUCCAAGUCGGGUUUUGAAUUUUUUUUUUUAACUAAUGACUCAGUUGAAGGAAAAGAAAAUAUCUAUUAAAUUUACAGACAUUAGAAAGCUGGCAGAAGUUAUAUAGGCACUAAAGGACAGGUUUUGACUUCUGUAUGAUCUUGAUAAAUUAGGUGUUUUAUAGAAAGACAGGUGAUAGUUCAAGAAGACAAGUGCUAAAUACUAAACUUUUAUAGCAAAGUGAUUGGUAAUGCAAAGACUGAAUAAGAACAACAGCAGUAUAAUUAAUCCCCUUGACAUCAGAUGAAGAUUAGUUGCAUAGGUUGUUGGAAGGGAAAAUGUCUUAUCACUGUUACUGCUUGUUCUAAAAAAAUGAUUGUUUUGCACUGGUCAUUGUAACAUAGAGUAACACUCAGCAGCAGACCCUCUCAGAGAGAACUGGGUUCUACUGUCUGCGCAGAAAGGCUGAGGUUACCUUAACUGGAGACUGGAAUCACUUAUGCAUGUUCUUGUGUUGAUAUCACAAGAAAUUUCCCUCCUUAUGAUUUCUUGCACUGCCACCGGUUAAGUUGUAAGGAGCUAAUUCUACUGCUGUCAAAGGAUUUCCU
rnacentral:lncRNA from 1 species